rnacentral:rRNA from 1 species
ACUCACCAGGUCAGGACACGGUAAGGAUUGACGGACUGAAGGAUCUUUCUCGAUUCCGUGGAAAGUGGUGCAUGGCCGUUUUUGGUUGGUGGAUCGAUCCGUCUGGUUAAUUCCGUUAACGAACGAGACCUCGGCACUCCGAAUAGCGCGGCGGACGUCGCGGCCUCCGGGCCGUCUUCCGCGCGAGCUUCUUAGAGGGACCGUCCCCCGCCGGGGAAGGAGGUUCGAGGCAACGACAGGUCUGUGAUGCCCUUAGAUGUUCUGGGCCGCACGCGCAUUACACUGACGCGUCCAACGGGCGACUCCCGGCCCGAAGGGGUCGGGGAAUCCGCAAGGCGCGUCGUGAUGGGGAUUGAACGUUGCAAUUGUUGUUCACGAACGAGGAAUUCCUAGUAGGCGCGGGUCAUCAACCCGCGCCGAUUACGUCCCUGCCCUUUU